CACAGGACCUACGGCGGCCCAGUCCAAUGACGUAAAAUAGAAUGCGCCGAGGGCCUACAACUUGACUAACUGGUUUACUUUUUUUUUUUUUUUUUUUAGUGUUGCUGCCCCUGUUCGCCAAAAGCGUGGGCGAGCGCGUGAAGCUCGUUUCCCUAGUAAAUUAUAUCAACCAACUCGUACCGCCUCUUCUUUAUCCCCCGUAAAACACACCGAGGCCAGGACCUAGCGGCGUUGCUAGCACCAGACUUUUUAAAAACCCAGACAUGAACUCCAUUGCCUCCAUGGGCCUUUUCCUAGUUCAAAGGGCAGAAUCUCCCUUUUUAAAAUAUUUGCCCGACGGAAGUGAGGGCUGUCCACAGCAAUUAAUGGAAAUAUCCAAGACAUCACUGGGAUUUGGCAAGGAUUGUAUCCCCUCCUACUCUCACUCCCUCACCACGACGAACAAAAAAGCAGUUUCAUGAAGAUGUUAAACAACAUUGGAGACAAUACGGAGCCCUGAGGGACACCAUACCGAAGUUCAGUUUUUGAAGAAAAACAGUCCCCGAGAGACACCAUCUGGAAUCUGCCCGAGAGUCUUUCAGACAUCUCAUUUGAGAUAGCCCUCCAAUGGGAGACGUAGGUAGUCUUGCAGAGAAGAGGGCAGUUUCAAUUGGGCAAUGCCCUGGUGACAUCGUACCCCCAACUGCUUCCGAACAGCACAGCGGGCCAGAUGUUGCAGUGGGCGGGGCUGGUUCACCAGCCAAAGGGCUGAAUCGUAGAACGUCUGGUGCUUCUAUCAAGAUGGAGGGAAAACAAAACAAAACAGGAACACACAGUGAGCUCUUCAAUUGCAAAAAUGGGGAGUGAGGAGAUAACUGCCUUGGAGAAACUACCUGCCACACUUCAGGAGGCACAGAUCCUACCCAGGAAUCACAGGACAGGAUCCGAUCAUAGGAGUUCAGAAUAACUUCCAAAGUUUGAGGAGACAAGGCGCAAAACUUCAACAUCUAAGAGCAAAGGCAUCAAGGAGAGGGGGAGAGAGAGAGAGAGAAACAGAUGUGUGAGUACCUUAAAGAGAAAAUUAUAAACGCUCAUGGGGGGUGGGGGGUGGAAUGCUGUUUAUACCUCUAAAAGCCUGCAAAUAUAGGCUUGAAAGUGUGAACUCCCAAGAGAUAGGUGUCCAAAAGACCAGGGUUUCCAUGCAGAGUGUUACCUUAGCCUAGAACUUUUGACAUAUGCCCAGGCACACAUGUAUGUGCAUGCUACAUUUUUCUUACAACUGGUACCUGAACAUUUUUGUACUACAGCUCAUCCAGCAUCCUACCAGGUUAGUGAUCUACUAGCAGGCUUUGGAUGCUAAGGUUAGUACCAUGUUAAUGACCAGUCAUUCAUUCUCCGCUACUGAAGCAUUUUUGCUUAUUUCAUUUAAAAAUACUGAACACAUCCACCAAUUCACCUUUCUGAAAGAUUCCCAACAUGGCACACACGAAACUACUUUCCCACGAACAAGGGGAAGUAGUUUCCCUUCUCUGUGAGAAACCUCUUCCUACUGAGGAAUGUGCACAAAAACGUUCUCCAACCCAAAGGACAGCCCAGUUUCAGGAGAUCAUAACCUGUACAGGCAGAACACCGCUGAAGAGAAGCGAAGGCUCAGCCCUUACCUUAGGAUUGACAGGAGCCGCUCCAUAGCUGAGGAGAGUGGCUAUAACCUGCUCGGGCUCUCCCUCCAGGUAAUCUUCCACUGCUUGCAAGGCACAAUCCAUCGGUGUGUAGCCAGCACAGUUACUAACGUUGGCAUCCGCCCCAUGCUGCAGCAGUAGUUCCACAAUGCGGAUAUGGCAGUUACUGCAGGCGUUGUGAAGGGGUGUGUGGUUCUUCCUGCCAGCCACCUGGACAUCAGCCCCACCGUCCAAGAGUCGCUUCACUACCCGGUAGUAGCGGCCGGCCUCCUCAGGGCUGUCGGCGCUGGCGCAGGCUGCGUUGAGAGCCGUCUCUCCCUCUCGGUUUCUGUGGGCAAUGUUAGCUCCGUAGCAGAGGUAGAGCUUCACGUGGUCAUCUAGGCCGUACUUUGCAGCCACCUGAAGUGGAGAAGCACGGCGAUCUUGCGUGUACUGGUUGACCAGAGCGCCAUACUCCAAUAGAAGCUGGGCACACCUGGAGGGCACAAUGAGUAGUGCUGUUGAAAUAAACACUUACCGCAUUUAAACAACUGGAGCCUGAUCUUAGUUUUUUUUAUUUUAUUAACAAACAAACUUCUAGUCGUCAUGGUUGCUGAAAUAUAUGCCGCCAGCGCUGGCAAAAAGCUUUACCGUUAUUUAGGCAGCACAUCAAGUCAAGUUUAUUAUUAAGGUCCAUGACCAGAAAACAAACAAACAAACAAGGAAUAAAAACAAUACAAUAAAAAUAUACAACAUCAAAAUAAUAAAUUACAUAAAACUGAGUUACAAGGAUGGCAAGGUCAUACACAGCUAAGUUUAUCUCGUCUCAUUUUACAUGCUGCAGCACAGAAUCUUGCAGUCCUCACAUCCAUGGUCUGCAUAACUACACAUCAUUUCUCCUCAAUACCUCCUACAGACAACCUUUUUCUAAUACCUCCUCUCCUCCACACCAAGCUAGUAUGGUGUAAUCUGGGGUCAGAAGACUCUGGAGAAGAGUGCUGCUGCUGACUGUCCCCAAAGACCAGCACAAAGUGAAAGAAUGACCCGUUCCCCACUCCUGAGUCUUGAAAAUAUAGAGAAGGGGUGAGGUUGUUUACUCACCUUGUGCGAUGGCUUGAAGACACCCAGAAGUGGCAAGACUCGCUACUCCAUGCCUGGAAGUAAGUAAGAAGCUGAUCCCUUCUUACCCAAUCCUCUAUGAAUGCCAGAACUCUGCAGAGGGUUCAUAUCUCCAACUCAGCAUAAAAAUGAGACACACCUUUCUCUUUCAGCAUCCUUCACAAUAAGCAGUGUGCACACAUUCUUUUGCCAGUCCAGCUUUUACAUUUUUUUUUAAUCAGGACCCCAGGUAUGCUAUAAUUGUGCACAAUUCAACUGGAAAAAUCUCAACCUCCAUUUACACUUUUUAAAGCAAGUUUCUAGUCCAUAUGACUGCAAAGGUGGACUUGAAAUUAUGUUGGCAGUGUACCUGCUACAGUCUAAAAAGUCAGGAGAGGUGACCGAAUGAGAUUUGCAGAGCUGUAGGUAGGGCUUUAUUACACUAUGUAUUCCAUGCCCUUCCAUGAUUAACAGAACUAGAACAAACUAUGCAAGAAAGUAUAGAUUGCAGAUAAAAUUAAAUCAAGAGUAUUUAUCUUAUUUUGCAUAGUUUGUAUAAUUUAUAUAAAUAGAAUUUCUAGUACAUCUGAAAAAAGUUAGUCCUGCAUAUAUUUUUUUGUAUGUUUUCAAAAUAAUUUGUAUUUGAUUUAGCACGGGAGAAGGAAAUGCUAUUGUAGUUUAAUAGAUUUUUAGCCUACCUUUUAGGUACACUAUCUCACAAGGCAGCAGAGUUUAAUUAGGGAGCCCCUGGAUCUACUUAUCAUUAGUCUUUAUUGCCAUUUCUCACAAUAGGGUGCUUUCAUCAUAUGGCUUGAAUCCUUCUUCAAGCCACAACAGACUCACUCCCUCCCCCUCCCCUCCAACUUUCCAGACAUACGGCAAAGUCUCCUGGGUGGUGCACAGGUGCAGUGGGGCCAAUCCUUCCUCUGAGAGCAUGUUCGGGUUUGCACCAAAGCUGAGGAGUAGACGAGUACACUCUGCACGGUGAUGGGCACAGCUGUCAUGAAGGGCAGCUUUUCCACCAACUAUAGCAUCGACUUCAGCCCCUUGCAGGAGUAGAUGCUUCACACAGUCCCGGUAGCCCCUGGCAGCUAAGAUGCGCAGUGGAGAGGUGUGCUUCUUUUGUGGGCUCAGCACCCACAGGCCUGUAGAACCUACAAGGAAGGAGAGAUGAGACUCAUCAAUGCAGAGAUGGCACAUUGUAGUCGUCCAUAAUUCUGGAAUGCUGUGUCAGCCAAUUAAGCUGAUUUGCAAUAGGUUCAGAACAAACCAAAUUCUUCCUACAAAGUGUAAUUAAAUCUGGGGAAAUCAUGCCAUAAGGUUUAGUGACGGGCCCUAUGUUAGAAAGCUUAUCAGAAAGGUGGUGGCUUAAACAGGACUACCAAUCAACAUGAUGCUUUACAGAGUAAUAUAGGCAAAAAGAUAGGUCUCUGCUUAAAGCUUAUCAUCCCAAAUUAACUAGUGUGGGAAAAUAAAUCCACAGAAGAGCUAUGGGUCAUGAUAAUUAAAUGGAACCUCCAUGUUCAGAGGCAGUAUUUACUUCCCCAUAAUACUCAGAUCACACAGGAGGUUCACAGCAGCUUACAAAUUCAGAAAGAACUAACCUAUCUACCAGCAAUUAAAAGCCCAAUUAACACACGCUAAAAGUAGUACAUUUCCUAGAUGCAUGCAUGUCAUAUGUGAGCUUUGUUAGCAUCCCUCCAAUUAUCCGAUGGUGGAAACAAAGAGCAAAUGAUCACCCUGUCCAUUAUUCCCAGCUUGCAAGCUUCCAGAAACUUUAGCCAGCCAGAUGCUAGAGCCAGAAAUGUGGCCCCUUGGUUGGACUGAGCAUAGACUGCUUUGAUAAGAAAGUGCUUUUUCACAAGCUGCUCAUAACCGGAAGUCUACCACUAUGUUCCAGACUUUGGCUUGACUAAAGGGGGCUGGGAGAGAAGAAAAGAGCGUGCACAACUUCUGGUGAUGCUGGAAUUAGGUGUCAGAAGAGCUGGGAAAAUAUUGGCUGACAUCUAGCACAGCACUGUGUCUAUAAAGUUGUGCUGUACUCCCUUCAGUGGCGGUGUCCGGGCGGCGCAAAAUGGGUGGCCGCCCGUGCAAGCUCCAGAUGGAGAAACCUGUGGACAGCCUGCUUGCGCAGUUGCCCAUUUUGUGCAGUGCAGAUGCUGCCUUUGAGGGGCACAGCAGUUCCAUAGCACAGGUUUACAGAACAUAACACUCUGCUGGAUGUCAGCUAAUAUUCUAAGAACAAACAAUACCUCAGUCAUACGGUCCCCUGUCCCCCAAGGGGGCUCACCAUCUAAACAGAAACACAAAGUGGGCCACAGCCACUGGAGGGGUGCUGUGCUGGGGAUGGAGAGGGCCAGUUGCUCCCCCACUGCUCAGGAGAAGGAGAGGGUCACCACUUUGAAAGGGGUCUCUUGGCUCAGUUAGCCGAGGUAACAACUGUUUAUAUACUGCUUCUCACCAAGCAUUUCCAAAGUGGUCUACACAGGAGGUUGAAACACUUGAAAGCCCUUUCACAGGCGUCUCCCAUUUGGAUGGGAGCAUUGAGAGGUGAGCAGGGAGGAGAGCUGGUCUGGUGGGAGCAAGCACGACUGGUCCCCUUAGCUAAGCAGGGUGUGCCCUGGUUGCAUGUAAAUGGGAGACUACAUGUGUGAGCACUGGAAGAUAUUCCCUUUAGGGGAUGGAGCCACUCUGGGAGGAGCAUCUAGGUUCCAAGUUCCUUCCCUGGCAGCAUCUCCAAGAUAGGGGGAGAGAGAUUCCUGCCUGCAACCUUGGAGACACCACUGCCAGUCUGUGAAGACAAUACUGAGCUACGGUAGAUGAACCAAGGGUCUCACUCAGUAUAUGACAGCUUCCUACAUUCCUAUGUUCCACACCUAGCAUAGGGGAGUAUUGUAACUGGGCAAAUGUGUUAUAAGAACUUGGGUCUAGAGAGAUGAAGGCCUGGGGCGAGGUGGCUGGAGGGAAGGGCAGCCAAGGCAGGGCCAGAUUAAAGUCUUUGUAGACCCAAGGCACUCUCAUAAUUGCAGACCCACCCACCCCCCAAGAUAGAUCUGUAGAUAUAUAUUUAUGUAUAAUGCUAUAGGUUUGCUUUGUGUACAAUGUAUAGGUCCCCUAAUAUGUCUAGUGUGUCAGAAUGGGCAUCUGCAGGACUGGAUUAUUCAUUAGGAUAAUUUCCUCACAAAAAGGUGUAUUGGAGGUGGGAUAGGGAGGGGAGAGGAGAGUUUGGUGACAUGUUUUCCAAGUGUUAAGAUUGCUUUUAGAAUGUAUUUUGCCACUUUUGGAACAAACUGUGAAGGGGAGCAUGCUUAUUCAAAGCUGAAGUUUACAGAGAACUUUCUUAGGUCAACCAUGGGACAGAAAUGACUAUCUUGUCUUCACUUGCACUACCCUCAAUUGAGAAUGAACUUUUGCAAAAUUUUAAACUGGAAGAUGUAGUCCAUGAUUUUGCUAACAAAAAGAGCCACAAAGUUAACAUUUAAUGUGUAUUUACUUAAGUCAUUUAAUGAUUUACUAUCAUUAAACUACAUUCAGUUAUGCAACACUUUACAUUGUACUAUUUUGUUAUGCUGUUAAAAUAACUCAAUUAAAGCAAAUUAUUCAGUUUGAUGUA